rnacentral:rRNA from 1 species
CACGUAGGGGCAAGCGUUGUCCGGAUUUAUUGGGCGUAAAGAGCUCGUAGGCGGCGCGGUAAGUCGGGUGUGAAAUCUCGGGGCUUAACUCCGAAACUGCAUUCGAUACUGCCGUGCUUGAGGACUGGAGAGGAGACUGGAAUUUACGGUGUAGCGGUGAAAUGCGUAGAUAUCGUAAGGAAGACCAGUGGCGAAGGCGGGUCUCUGGACAAUUCCUGACGCUGAGGCACGAAGGCCAGGGGAGCAAACGGG